UGAAUUGUAGCUCAGUGGUAUAGCACUUGCCUAUUAUGCAAGAGACUCUGAGUUUCAUCUGUAGCACUGCAA
rnacentral:tRNA from 1 species